rnacentral:tRNA from 1 species
GGUUGAAUGGCGCAAUGGUAGCGUGUGGUCCUCCUAAGACUGAGGUUGUGGGUUCGAGUCCCAUUUCAAUCG